AAACACACGCAUGCUCCAGCAGCUUGCGGUGCAAAUCGAGCCUAGACCCAAUGACCCCUUGUGGCGGUCGAAGCGGUUUUCGAAGAGACUCAAUGAUUUUUUGGGGUUAGCCGGGGCUGUUAUAUCAUCCUAUAUGCUUACGCGUAAGUGGCUUCAUUUGGACCAAGAGGCAGAUUCAAAAGAGCAGAAGAUCUAACUAGCAACAAUGGCUUCAGUUGGAGAAUGAGGCAGAAGAUCUAACUAGCUAUCUGGAAGUCGAAGUGUAAUUUCACUAGUAUAGAAAUGCUCGAGGAUGAAGUUAUUAGUGCUCUUUUUUGGGCAUUCUUCAGCUUUUGUACCAACAACUGUGAAAAUUAGUUAUGCAUUUUUAUAUGGUUUUGGCUUCAGUUUCCUUUGACCUUAUGUGCGGUGUCAAUACUGUGUUCAGUGAUUGUAUGUGUUGCCCCCACCCCCCAUUUUGUACAGUUUAGCAUGAUGCCA